rnacentral:rRNA from 1 species
GCGGGCGCAGCUACCAUGCAGUCGAGCGGUAACAGAUCCAGCUUGCUGGAUGCUGACGAGCGGCGGACGGGUGAGUAAUGCAUAGGAAUCUGCCCGAUAGUGGGGGAUAACCUGGGGAAACCCAGGCUAAUACCGCAUACGUCCUACGGGAGAAAGGGGGCUUCGGCUCCCGCUAUCGGAUGAGCCUAUGUCGGAUUAGCUAGUUGGUGAGGUAACGGCUCACCAAGGCGACGAUCCGUAGCUGGUCUGAGAGGAUGAUCAGCCACAUCGGGACUGAGACACGGCCCGAACUCCUACGGGAGGCAGCAGUGGGGAAUAUUGGACAAUGGGGGGAACCCUGAUCCAGCCAUGCCGCGUGUGUGAAGAAGGCCCUCGGGUUGUAAAGCACUUUCAGCGAGGAAGAACGCCUAGCGGUUAAUACCCGCUAGGAAAGACAUCACUCGCAGAAGAAGCACCGGCUAACUCCGUGCCAGCAGCCGCGGUAAUACGGAGGGUGCAAGCGUUAAUCGGAAUUACUGGGCGUAAAGCGCGCGUAGGUGGCUUGAUAAGCCGGUUGUGAAAGCCCCGGGCUCAACCUGGGAACGGCAUCCGGAACUGUCAAGCUAGAGUGCAGGAGAGGAAGGUAGAAUUCCCGGUGUAGCGGUGAAAUGCGUAGAGAUCGGGAGGAAUACCAGUGGCGAAGGCGGCCUUCUGGACUGACACUGACACUGAGGUGCGAAAGCGUGGGUAGCAAACAGGAUUAGAUACCUUGGUUAGUC